CUGAAGGCAGGGGCGCAACUCCAUAUUUUUGAGGUGGAUGCAAACAUAUCUUCGGCGCCCCCCCAUAUAUCGAAUGAUGACUGAGGCCUGCUCUUGCUUUGAAAUAUCAGGUGUGCAGUCCAGUUCCACUGCAAAGUACUUAGAGGACUUGAUCUUGGCAGAUAUUUUACUCAAAACACACUCUGAUAUUGAAUCUAAAAAUUCAUUCUGAGUGCACCAUGUCAGAUAUCCAGUGGUUUUUCACUAUCAAUAGUCUUACCUAGGCGUAAGCGAGAUGCCAUUUCUUUCCACGUCAGAUAAGCAUUUAUGUGAGAACUACUGGUUUCAUGGUGCUUCAGUGUUUUUGAAAGACAUCGCCAGUUAUUAUACCCCUCCACAAGGCAUGUGUCAAGAACUUUAGCUUCACCAAAAAGCUUACAUGCAAAACAAUAGACUCUGUUAGUAUUUUUA